GGUGGACUACGGGGCACAGCAGAGAAGCUGGUAGCCUACUUCAGCCCCCGCGAGGAGGUCCGCCGGAUCACCAUCCUGUGUGCCAAGUUCUCCGGACACCCCAAGGGGUCAGUGCCAGCCAGCUAUUCAUAGAGUUGGACACCAAGAGCUCAGCCCAGGCCGCCGUGGGGCUGGAUGAGACCGUCGUCCCCGGCCGAGUCAUCAAGGUGUGUUCCCUAAACCACACGAACCUCUGACUCCCUGAGGAGGCAGGAAAUUCGGGCUCAGGGAGGCCACGAUCCUUCUCCAAGUCCCCCGUGUCUGUGCUCAGGGCCCAGCGGGUUUCCACUGGAUGGGGCACGGGCGGGGAGAGGGUGCUGGGGGCUCCCUUCCCCAGCUGGACCCCUGGGGGAUGCCGGGCCCACAGGGGCACAUCACCCGCCCCUGUCUGCGGCUGGACAGUUCAGGUGUGAGUGGGAAUUCUUAGAAGGUUGGAAACAGGUUAGGGUCUGACGCCCCAGAGCUCCAUGCCCAGGAGCUGCGGGUCGUAAUUACCGCUGCAGUACCCGCAGCGCACCUGCCUGGGAGCCUCCAGCAAAGAAACCCAAGAAGGCUUCCUGGAGGCAGGUUUAGCCCUGGGCUCUGCCGCGCUGCGGAAGAGGGGAGGAGAGCAGGUGUCUCCGAGGGAGUCCGCCUGCGGCGCCAGGCCUGACCGUGAAAGGCCGGUGAUGGGUCCCAGACUGGGCCCUGCCCUACUUCCCAGCCAGUAGCCAGCCCCCUGCUCCAUGGGGAGCCGCGGCUAACUGCGUGUCCAGCCCAGGCCUGGUGGCCUGCGUGGUCGGUGCUGCCCCCCCCACGGUGAGUGACACAGUGUGAGGCCCUGUGGGAGGGCACGCACCUUGGGCGCCUGGCCCCAGCCUGGCCCUGGUCAGAAGUUCAGAGGGCAGAAGGGAGGUCCCCAUGCUGGGCACUCCGACUGCCGGGGCUCUGAGGCAGGCACAACCCGCAUCCCCCCUGAAGGGGCAGUACGUGCUCCUUCCCAGUGCAGGGCUGGGCGAGGAAACUCCCUUUGCUCUGGAACUAGGUAACUGCCAACCAGCCCUCACUGGGCUCUUCUAAAGCCUCUCACCUGGUUGCCCUACCUACCUAUUCCUGACCCCAAGGACAGAGCUGCCCCCGGCUGCCAACCACCAGGGGUCCACAGGUGUGGUCAGGGGGACCGGCCACCCCUUGGCUCUCCACCCGCAUUGGUCUCUGGCAUCCUCUCUCAGACCAGCUUCAUAACCCCCAUGAUCUGGGGUCAGGUCUGCCCUUGAGUGGGGUGAAGGAUUCCCCUGGGAGAAAAGGUCCAUAUCCUAAUUUCCAGAACCUGCGAAUGGGACCUUAUUUGGGAGGAGGUCAGGAUCAUGCUGGGUCACCUGGGUGGGCCCGAAAUCUAAUGAGACACAUGCUCCCAGAGAGGCUGCGGCGACGGGCCAGAGGUUGUACGGCUGCAUCUGAGCCAAGGAACCCGGGUGGCUGUCCAAAGCUGCGGAGGCCUGAACCACAUACCCCCUCAGACCAGCCUGGAGGAGUCGGCCCUGCUGACCCCUGGAUUCCUGGCUCUGGCCUCCGGAACCUGGGAGUACCGCUUGCUGGCUCACGCACACGUGCACACCCAUGAGAAGGCAGGAAGGCAGGGCUGUCAGGGCAAGCCCGGGGUGGCCCUGGGCGGCGUGCUGUCAGGGCGGUGCAGAGGAGGCACAUGCGCGGGACAGAGUCCCCUGGGCUGGAGCUUGUGUGGCACCAAGCAGGAGACAUGGGUUCCUGCCCGCUAAGCACCCAGGGGCUUCUCCCCUCCUUGGUGAGGGGGGAUUUGCUUCCAUCUUGAGGCGCUCACCGUGCAUGCUGGCCUUUCUGCAAGGUCCUGUGGGCAGUCUCCCCACCCCGCAUCGGGUUCCUUUUCAGAGUGUUUCCUGACCCCUUCUGUGUGGCCGCUCUGCGGAGUGACAUGGGAGCUCCUCCUCUCCCGUGGAUUUCGGGCCGAAACAGACCAAGACGGAGAGAGGAUGAGGAACGCUCCUGACCUGGGGCCGCACGGGUGGUGACGGCUCCCGGAGGUGAGAGCUGCUGAGGGGACUCACGUGGCUGUGCCUGGAGAAGGCCGAGACACACAGGCUCCCUGUCUGGUCCGGGGCAGAGGGAAGGACAGGGAACCAUCUCCCAAGCAACCCCAGCGCGACGGGCUGACCGGGCGCGGCCCAGCUCCUGGCUGCGGGGACGGGCAGGCGGUGACCCCCAAGGAGGCUGGCCUCAAGGCAGAGUGCUUGAAGGAUGCUGACUGUAAGAAGUCCAGGCCCCGGUGAGCAAAUCCCACGUUCCCUCUGGCUUUCUGCUCCCCAUGUGUAGGAGAGAAAGCUCGUCCUCAUGCGUUCGAGGGGGCUGCCCUAGCGUCAGCCAUCACAUCCAAGACGCGGAAGGAAACGACGAAGGCCGGAGACUCCACCUGCUGGCCGAGUCCCCGUCCAAGUAUCUCCAGUGCCAUCCGCUCACGUGCCGUGAUGACCCCCGUGGUGGGUACGGAGAAGCGGAAAUAUCUUCCGUCAGUCACCUGUAGCCAACAGCAACUGUAGCACUCUCAGCAGGGAAGCAAGCCAGCAACGUGUGGCUGCCCGCGGCCACUACUCAGACGGGAGCAAAUACUACGGAGCGCGGCCGAGAGGGCACAGCUGGCACGAGAACCAGUGCCCACCGGUCGGUGCCUCAGCCCUCCGCUAGGCCUCCCGGUCCACCUGCGUCCGGGGACUUGGGUUUAAUACCCGCUGCUGACUGAGUUCUCCCUCUGCUUCCGACCUGCGAGCACGAGUCCUGUGCUCCGCCGGCGGGAAGGGAAGGCGAUGAGGUGUCUGGCUUCCACCCAGACGCAGACUGCCUUCCCCGCUGCCCAGGGGGCCCCGAGCUGCCUCCCUCCUGUCCCCUUCUCUGGCGCACUGAGGAGGGGAGGGAGGGACUCGAAGCUGUCUUGGGGCCCGUGACCCAAAGCCAGUGUGCUCAACAAGCGACUGAGGGCACGAGAGCCGGGCCAACCGGGAAGGCACAGUCACAUGCACUUGGCCGGGCAGGCCUCUGGGGAAGCAGAGUGCAGGAAUCCAGUCACCUUCGGCUCCGUCCCCAAUGGGACCUUCCCCUCCCAGCUCGGGGGCCUGCCAGGGCAGCAAGUGAGCGGGGACUCCUCUAACCCAGCCGGGCCCCAACCGAGAAAGAGGCCUCUGGGGCUUGCUUGCUCUGCCCUCAGAGAGCCAGUGGCACCUGACAACCCACGUCAAAGCUCCCGGGCUCUGUGAGGGGGGCCUCCCGAGGCCCGGCGCAAAACCAGACCCACGCAGGCCCCUCCGUGCAGGGGGAGGUGUGUGGGCUGGGCGGGGGUCUAGACCUGGCUCUGGCCACGGAGGCCUGCCACACCUCCCCGCCAGGUCAGCCUCCGAGCACAGCCCACCCCAAGUCUCCCUGCACCUCCGUCAGCUCCCCCUGCAGCAGCAGCAUCUUCAGGGCCGAAGCGCCGUGGGCCCUCCCACCACCCUCCCUGCCCCUCCCCGAGCUGUGCGGUGCCUCAAAUGCCCCGUGCCACCCCCUCCAGCUAAAUCCUCCACUGACACAAGGAAAACGCCAAAUCCGAUCCCAGAGGACAUUUAGUCUGCACGCAGCACGCCGGAGACCGUGCCCCCAGCAGCACGUCUGUGAGGCUCAGAAACAGGCAAGCGAUCACGGAUGUCCGCACAACGAUACAGUCAUGUCCCCAGGGCCUCUCCCCCACGACAGCGGCAGGGCUGUCACUCAGCACACCUGGACCAUCAUGGAUGUCACCAUGCUAUCGAAGGCCCUGCGGAGAGAAACAGCCAUCAGAGCAGCCCCACCGGGGACCCAGGACCAGGACAGUCCCUCCGCAGUCACGUACUUCUCGGCUGCGAGGCCAGCGUCCCGCCACCCCGGCAGGGGGAGGCUAGGACCCAGGAUGAACUGAGACCAAGUCCUGGCUGAGGGCAGGUGCCACGGGCAGGGGUGACCCCGCGCUGGGCCACGCAGGAUCCUCUCAUCUGCUGGCUCGGAGGAGCCCCUUGGGAACCAUGUUUAGGAAUGUAGGGAAUUCCCGGGAGCAGAUUCGGAGCAUGUGCACGAACGCUUCCUUGUAAGAUUUCUGUGGAGUCCCCCGUCAUGCCUGCAUCUCUGAGUACCACGCACAAGACCCCUAUGAUCCGGUUCCCUAACCCCCAAGUGCGGCAUCGAAGACAAGAGGGCAUUUUCUCACAAAGGUCCGGUAACACGCCUGGGCCCCUACUGGGUCCCGUGGGGGCCCUGGGACUGACUGGGCACACCUGGGAAACCAAGAGGGCAAGGUGUGUGCCCUGCACCCAGUCCUUGUCUGUUUUAUAUCGGACACCCAUGUAAGAGUUUACUGGAAAAACAGGGUUCUGCUGCGUCAGCGUCACUGCUUAGAGACACGAUGCCCAGCAUGGACACAGACCUUCCCUCCCGCACGCUGGUAACUGCGGCUCUCCGCAAGGGAGGGGCUGCACCGCAAUCGGCUCACCG